GAACUUACUCCUCUGUUUCUCCCUAAGGCCACCAAUAACUCAUGGCUCUUUCUUUUUUUGUUGCAUCCCCAGAAAUGCUCGCCGUUCACCCAGAAAAAUUCCUUCAAAACCUCCAUCAGCCAGUUGACUCCCUCCUCCCAAAAAGCAAUUGAAACACUAAACCUCUUUCUGUUAAUUGCUUAGUCACAGUCCCUCCACCUUCCUAGCCUCACUUACAAUGACUCAAAUUUGAUUAAAUCAAAUUGGUUUUAAGCCAGUCAACAAAAGGCUUCAAAGUCCUUGAUCUACAGGUUGACCUUAUGAUGAUGGUCCUUGGUGGGUAGCUCAAUUGGAAACCUUGGUUUUUGGAUCUAGUGUUAGUGUCACUUGUUGCAGUCAGGAGGGGUGGUUUCUGGCAAAGCAGCGGCUCCAACAAUUUAAGCGGAGAGUGUUGUGGUUUCCGGUAAUGGUGACAACUGAAACUUGGUGGAAGACUUGGGUGGAGCCCUCUAAAGUUAGCAGAAUGAAUAAUCAACCUUUUGGCAGUGGUCAUAGAUCACGUUGCACUGUGGUGUUCUCUCUCUCUUAUUUAUUUUUGACAUUUGGCAGCUGAUUUAGGAUUUAGGACUUUCUAUU
rnacentral:lncRNA from 1 species